rnacentral:rRNA from 1 species
AACGAACGCUGGCGGCAGGCUUAACACAUGCAAGUCGAACGCCCCGCAAGGGGAGUGGCAGACGGGUGAGUAACGCGUGGGAAUCUACCCAGAUCUUCGGAACAACUGAGGGAAACUUCAGCUAAUACCGGAUACGCCCUACGGGGGAAAGAUUUAUCGGUUCUGGAUGAGCCCGCGUUGGAUUAGCUAGUUGGUGGGGUAAUGGCCUACCAAGGCGACGAUCCAUAGCUGGUCUGAGAGGAUGAUCAGCCACACUGGGACUGAGACACGGCCCAGACUCCUACGGGAGGCAGCAGUGGGGAAUAUUGGACAAUGGGCGAAAGCCUGAUCCAGCCAUGCCGCGUGAGUGAUGAAGGCCUUAGGGUUGUAAAGCUCUUUCAGUGGGGAAGAUAAUGACGGUACCCACAGAAGAAGUCCCGGCUAACUUCGUGCCAGCCGCCGCCGUAAGAC